rnacentral:rRNA from 1 species
GAGACAGCAGUCGCCGCGGUAAUACGGAGGGGGCUAGCGUUGUUCGGAAUUACUGGGCGUAAAGCGCACGUAGGCGGACUGGAAAGUCAGAGGUGAAAUCCCAGGGCCCAACCUUGGAACUGCCUUUGAAACUAUCAGUCUGGAGUUCGAGAGAGGUGAGUGGAAUUCCGAGUGUAGAGGUGAAAUUCGUAGAUAUUGGGAAGAACACCAGUGGCGAAGGCGGCUCACUGGACCGACACUGACGCUGAGGCGCGAAAGCGUGGGGAGCAAACAGGAUUAGAUACCCGCGUAGUCCCUGUCUCUUAUAC